GCCAUUUGCGAAGGAAACUGUACCAAGGGUUAUCUCCUCCGGCCCUUGCUGGCUGCCGCCUCGGAUUGUUGUGGCCUCGGUGUUGCUCCCGGCGGUGGCAGCCGGCUCUCCCCCUCUGUUCGCGAUGACAGCUACUCCUCUUCCCCCUCGAAACGACGCUUGAUUCUGUUUAGAUUUGCAACCCUCCCACCAUUCCGGUUACCGCCAGUAUUUCCGCCGCUUCGUUGAAGGGGAUUUCGGUGAGCGGCUUGAUUCGGCCAUGGCUGCCUUGUAAUGAGUCCAGCCGCGACUCCAUGUGUAGCCCCGGUAUCCCUUGAUUUCAGAACGCUCGCUUUGGUGUCCUCCCUCCGAAGGAUUCCGUAUGCUACUUCUACGGAUGGUAGUGGAUCCAAUCUAAGUAUUUCUUUCUUGAUCCCUUCGUACUUGUCGUUUAGGACUACGAGCAGUUGGUAUAGUCUCUGUUCUUCUUUCUCGGCAUUAUGGAUUUCAAUACCCUCUGGGAGUUUCAUCCGAUUGGGUUGUUUCUGGUCGAUGGAGACCCAUAGAUCAUUGAGGAUUGUUUGGUGAUUUGAACAGGGUCUGCCGGAUUUUGGCCUUUUGGUUUGAGAUUGGUCCGAGACAGUGAUGAGACUUCUUUGAGUCUCACCCCUGCUCUGAUACCAUCUUGAUUUUGGUAUUGGCCAUAGAAGAGGGAAGAGUAGUGUAUAAGAGAUAGAUUGUAGGAAAUUGUGUGUUGUAUAUUCAUCGGUUCUUACUAUUCUUUAUGUAGAGUUUUACAUAUGUGUAUAUGGUAUGAUUUCCUAGAAUCAAUUUACAAUCAAUUGCUCAAUCAA